rnacentral:rRNA from 1 species
CAUCGGAGGCCCAAAACAGGCAGUCGAACGGUAACAGGAAAAAGCUUGCUGCUUUGCUGACGAGUGGCGGACGGGUGAGUAAUGUCUGGGAAACUGCCUGAUGGAGGGGGAUAACUACUGGAAACGGUAGCUAAUACCGCAUAACGUCGCAAGACCAAAGAGGGGGACCUUCGGGCCUCUUGCCAUCGGAUGUGCCCAGAUGGGAUUAGCUAGUAGGUGGGGUAACGGCUCACCUAGGCGACGAUCCCUAGCUGGUCUGAGAGGAUGACCAGCCACACUGGAACUGAGACACGGUCCAGACUCCUACGGGAGGCAGCAGUGGGGAAUAUUGCACAAUGGGCGCAAGCCUGAUGCAGCCAUGCCGCGUGUAUGAAGAAGGCCUUCGGGUUGUAAAGUACUUUCAGCGGGGAGGAAGGGAGUAAAGUUAAUACCUUUGCUCAUUGACGUUACCCGCAGAAGAAGCACCGGCUAACUCCGUGCCAGCAGCCGCGGUAAUACGGAGGGUGCAAGCGUUAAUCGGAAUUACUGGGCGUAAAGCGCACGCAGGCGGUUUGUUAAGUCAGAUGUGAAAUCCCCGGGCUCAACCUGGGAACUGCAUCUGAUACUGGCAAGCUUGAGUCUCGUAGAGGGGGGUAGAAUUCCAGGUGUAGCGGUGAAAUGCGUAGAGAUCUGGAGGAAUACCGGUGGCGAAAGCGGCCCCCUGGACGAAGACUGACGCUCAGGUGCGAAAGCGUGGGGAGCAAACAGGAUUAGAACUCUCUUGUUAGAAGCAUCCA